rnacentral:rRNA from 1 species
GACGAACGCUGGCGGCGUGCUUAACACAUGCAAGUCGAACGGAAAGGCCCUUCUUUUGUGGGUUGCUCUAGUUGCUACCUUUUUAUUAACCCUUUCGUCACCUGCCCUUUCCUUUGUUAUACCUUCCGUAAACUUUUGCUCAUCCCUGAUAUUAUCUCCUGCUGCAUGGUUGGGUUUGGAAAUUUUCGGCGGUUGGGGAUGGACUCGCGGCUUAUCAUCUUGUUGUUUGGGUAGUGGCUUACCAAGGCUUUGACGGGUAGCCGGACUGAGAGGGUGACCGGAAAAAGUGGGACUGAGAGACGGCCCAGACUCCGACGGGAGGCAGCAGUGGGGAAUAUUGCACAAUGGGCGGAAGCCUGAUGCAGCAAAGAAGCGUGCGGGAUGACGGCCUUCGGGUUGUAAACAGAUUUCGCCUGUGACGAAGCGUGAGUGACGGUAAUGGGUAAAGAAGCACCGGCUAACUACGUG